rnacentral:rRNA from 1 species
UACAGAGGUCUCAAGCGUUGUUCGGAUUCAUUGGGCGUAAAGCGCGUGUAGGCGGCUCGGUAAGUCUGCUGUGAAAGUCCAAGGCUCAACCUUGGAAUGCCGGUGGAUACUGUCGAGCUCGAGUCCGGAAGAGGCGAGUGGAAUUCCUGGUGUAGCGGUGAAAUGCGCAGAUAUCAGGAGGAACACCAAUGGCGAAGGCAGCUCGCUGGGACGGUACUGACGCUGAGACGCGAAAGCGUGGGGAGCGAACAGG